CGAGCGAACAGACGAGGAGCUUGCUCCUCUGACGUUAGCGGCGGACGGGGUGAGUAACACGUGGAUAACCUACCUAUAAGACUGGGAUAACUUCGGGAAACCGGAGCUAAUACCGGAUAAUAUAUUGAACCGCAUGGUUCAAUAGUGAAAGACGGUUUUGCUGUCACUUAUAGAUGGAUCCGCGCCGCAUUAGCUAGUUGGUAAGGUAACGGCUUACCAAGGCAACGAUGCGUAGCCGACCUGAGAGGGUGAUCGGCCACACUGGAACUGAGACACGGUCCAGACUCCUACAGGAGGCGGCAGUAGGGAAUCUUCCGCAAUGGGCGAAAGCUUGACGGAGCAACGCCGCGUGAGUGAUGAAGGUCUUCGGAUCGUAAAACUCUGUUAUUAGGGAAGAACAAAUGUGUAAGUAACUAUGCACGUCUUGACGGUACCUAAUCAGAAAGCCACGGCUAACUACGUGCCAGCAGCCGCGGUAAUACGUAGGUGGCAAGCGUUAUCCGGAAUUAUUGGGCGUAAAGCGCGCGUAGGCGGUUUUUUAAGUCUGAUGUGAAAGCCCACGGCUCAACCGUGGAGGGUCAUUGGAAACUGGAAAACUUGAGUGCAGAAGAGGAAAGUGGAAUUCCAUGUGUAGCGGUGAAAUGCGCAGAGAUAUGGAGGAACACCAGUGGCGAAGGCGACUUUCUGGUCUGUAACUGACGCUGAUGUGCGAAA
rnacentral:rRNA from 1 species